rnacentral:ribozyme from 1 species
GCUGCUCUGAUAAACACACACCUCUCCGUGGUGAGCAGUAGGCAACGAUCUUAUGGUCGGCGAAGAUGUGAGA